rnacentral:lncRNA from 1 species
UUUCAUAUUCUUCUUCAUGAGACCUCACAGUGGCACCCUUACACACCAUGAAGAGCAUCCCAUUGAAUGGAAAGAGAGGGUCAUGAAACCCUACUUGCUCCUAUGACCGGACAACCUGGUGAUUAUCCAAUCUGAGUACUUUGCUACUCAAAACAUCUAAUCUAAACAAAUAAUAGUCAGAUCUAAAAAUAAACUAAUUUAGAUUUAAUAUAAAUCAUAA